rnacentral:rRNA from 1 species
AUUGAACGCUGGCGGCAGGCCUAACACAUGCAAGUCGAGCGGAGCGGCGGACGGGUGAGUAAUGUAUGGGGAUCUGCCCGAUAGAGGGGGAUAACUACUGGAAACGGUGGCGAAUACCGCACACUAUCCGAUGUACUCAUACGGGAUUAGCUAGUUGGUGGGGUAAAGGCCUACCAAGGCAACGAACCGUAAACGGUCUGAUAGGAUGAUCAGACACACGGAAACUGAGACACGAUCCAGACUCCUACGGGAGGCAGCAGUGGGGAAUAGUGGACAAUGGGCGAAAGGCUGAUACAGCCAUGCCGCGUAUGUGAAGAAGGUCUUCGGAUUGUAAAGCACUUUGAGUUGGGAGGCGUUACCAACAGAAUAAGCACCGGCUAACUUCGUGCCAGCAGCCGCGGUAAUUC